rnacentral:rRNA from 1 species
UCCGUUUGAAAGGCGCCCUCGUGCGCCGUGUGCCGAAAGGGAAGCCGGUUAAUAUUCCGGCACCUGGAUGUGGAUUCUCCACGGUAACGUAACUGAACGCGGAGACGUCGGCGGGGGUCCUGGGAAGAGUUCUCUUUUCUUCUUGACGGCCUAUCACCCUGAAAUCGGUUUGUCCGGAGCUAGGGUUCAAUGGCCGGCAGAGCCCUGCACCUUUGCAGGGUCCGGUGCGCCCCCGACGACCCUUGAAAAUCCGCGGGAAGGAAUAGUUUUCACGCCAGGUCGUACUCAUAACCGCAGCAGGUCUCCAAGGUGAACAGCCUCUAGUUGAUAGAACAAUGUAGAUAAGGGAAGUCGGCAAAAUGGAUCCGUAACUUCGGGAUAAGGAUUGGCUCUAAGGGUCGGGCUCGCUGGGCCUUGGGGGGAACCCCCUGGAGCAGGGGGGCACUAGCCGGGCAACCGGCCGGCGCCCCCCAGCACCGGGGUGGGGACGCCCUUGGCAGGCUUCGGCCGUCCGGCGGGCGCUUAACGACCAACUUAGAACUGGUACGGACAAGGGGAAUCUGACUGUCUAAUUAAAAC